rnacentral:rRNA from 1 species
CCUACGGGGGGCAGCAGUGGGGAAUAUUGGACAAUGGGGGCAACCCUGAUCCAGCCAUGCCGCGUGUGUGAAGAAGGCCCUCGGGUUGUAUAGCACUUUCAGUGAGGAAGAACGCCUGGUGGUUAAUACCCAUCAGGAAAGACAUCACUCACAGAAGAAGCACCGGCUAACUCCGUGCCAGCAGCCGCGGUAAUACGGAGGGUGCGAGCGUUAAUCGGAAUUACUGGGCGUAAAGCGCGCGUAGGUGGCUUGAUAAGCCGGUUGUGAAAGCCCCGGGCUCAACCUGGGAACGGCAUCCGGAACUGUCAAGCUAGAGUGCAGGAGAGGAAGGUAGAAUUCCCGGUGUAGCGGUGAAAUGCGUAGAGAUCGGGAGGAAUACCAGUGGCGAAGGCGGCCUUCUGGACUGACACUGACACUGAGGUGCGAAAGCGUGGGUAGCAAACAGGAUUAGAUACCCGGGUAGUC